rnacentral:misc_RNA from 1 species
GUAUUGAUUGCGUGUGACCGCAAAAAUGAACAUUCUACACUGUAUCGAGUUUUAUGUGAAAACGCAGGCCCUCCCACAAAGGGGAGGACCCACGCGGUGAUGCACAAAGGGGUGAGAUGGAUAUUUGUAUGUGAGAGCACUCGGGCGUGCACGACGAAAAGUCAGCGACAACCCGGGUACCCCCAUUGUACGAUAAUGAUCCUUCCGCAGGUUCACCUACGGAAA